UACGGGGGGAGCAAGCGUUGUUCGGAAUUACUGGGCGUAAAGGGCUCGUAGGUGGCCAACUAAGUCAGACGUGAAAUCCCUCGGCUUAACCGGGGAACUGCGUCUGAUACUGGAUGGCUUGAGUUUGGGAGAGGGAUGCGGAAUUCCAGGUGUAGCGGUGAAAUGCGUAGAUAUCUGGAGGAACACCGGUGGCGAAGGCGGCAUCCUGGACCAAUAUUGACGCUGAGGAGCGAAAGCCAGGGGAGCAAACGGGG
rnacentral:rRNA from 1 species